AUACGUAGGGUGCGAGCGUUGUCCGGAAUUACUGGGCGUAAAGAGCUCGUAGGUGGUUUGUCGCGUCGUCUGUGAAAUUCCGGGGCUUAACUCCGGGCGUGCAGGCGAUACGGGCAUAACUUGAGUACUGUAGGGGAGACUGGGAUUCCUGGUGUAGCGGUGAAAUGCGCAGAUAUCAGGAGGAACACCGGUGGCGAAGGCGGGUCUCUGGGCAGUAACUGACGCUGAGGAGCGAAAGCAUGGGUAGCGAACAGGAUUAGAUGCCCUGGUGGUCCAUGCCGUAAACGGUGGGCGCUAGGUGUAGGGGUCUUCCACGACUUCUGUGCCGUAGCUAACGCAUUAAGCGCCCCGCCUGGGGAGUACGGCCGCAAGGCUAAAACUCAAAGGAAUUGACGGGG
rnacentral:rRNA from 1 species